GACGAACGCUGGCAGCGUGCUUAACACAUGCAAGUCGAACGGAAAGGCCCUGCUUUUGUGGGGUGCUCGAGUGGCGAACGGGUGAGUAACACGUGAGUAACCUGCCCUUGACUUUGGGAUAACUUCAGGAAACUGGGGCUAAUACCGGAUAGGAGCUCCUGCUGCAUGGUGGGGGUUGGAAAGUUUCGGCGGUUGGGGAUGGACUCGCGGCUUAUCAGCUUGUUGGUGGGGUAGUGGCUUACUAAGGCUUUGACGGGUAGCCGGCCUGAGAGGGUGACCGGCCACAUUGGGACUGAGAUACGGCCCAGACUCCUACGGGAGGCAGCAGUGGGGAAUAUUGCACAAUGGGCGGAAGCCUGAUGCAGCAACGCCGCGUGCGGGAUGACGGCCUUCGGGUUGUAAACCGCUUUCGCCUGUGACGAAGCGUGAGUGACGGUAAUGGGUAAAGAAGCACCGGCUAACUACGUG
rnacentral:rRNA from 1 species